GGCGAGGUAGCUCAGUCAGGCAGAGCAAGCGGCUCAUAAUCGCUGUGUCGCCGGUUCAAGUCCGGCCCUCGCUA
rnacentral:tRNA from 1 species